rnacentral:misc_RNA from 1 species
GAUGAAGAACGUAGCGAAAUGCGAUAAGUAAUGUGAAUUGCAGAAUUCAGUGAAUCAUCGAAUCUUUGAACGCACAUUGCGCCCCCUGGUAUUCCGGGGGGCAUGCCUGUCCGAGCGUCAUUACAACCCUCAAGCUCAGCUUGGUGUUGGGCCCCGCCGCCCCGGCGGGCCCUAAAGUCAGUGGCGGUGCCGUCCGGCUCCGAGCGUAGUAAUUCUUCUCGCUCUGGAGGUCCGGUCGUGAGCUCGCCAGCAACCCCCAAUUUUUUUCAGGUUGACCUCGGAUCAGGUAGGGAUACCCGCUGAACUUAAGCAUAUCAAUAAGCGGAGGA